CGAAUCAACUAGCCCCGA
rnacentral:siRNA from 1 species